CUCGUUCUAUGUUGCCAGCACGUGAAAAUGGGCCCUCAUAAAAAAACUGCGGGGGUCAACUCGAGGAAGAUGGGGAUGACGUCAAAUCAUCAUGGCCCCUAUGUGUUGGGCUUCACACAUGUUACAAUGGCCUGUACAAAGGGCUACAAUACCGCGAGGGGGAGCGAAUCCCCCAAAGCCGGUCCCAGAUCGGAUUGAAGUCUGCAACUCGACCUCAUGAAGUCGGAGAAUCUAGUGAUCUCAGAUAAGAAAAGGUGGGGUGAAAAAGUUUCCCGGUUUUAACCACCCCCCCGUCCACUCAGGAGGUCGGUAACCCCUAAAGCCGGUGGCCUAACCCUUGUGGAGGGAGCCGCCCAAGGUGGGUAUUCGUAAUCUGGGUUUAUAAAAGAGGGG
rnacentral:rRNA from 1 species